rnacentral:lncRNA from 1 species
ACACCGAACAAACUAAUAACAAAUCAAUUUAAACAAUCCAGACACACCAUAAAAAGGUACCCAAAUGUUCAAAACAACAAAUAAAGUGUUCAAAACAUUAAUUUAAAGUGCAAGAAAGAAAAAGUAACUGAAUGAAUGAAUUGUUGAAUGAUCAAUCUUCUUGCUCUUCAUCGGUAAAGUACAUCUCCUCUCCACCAUCAUGGGCAGCAUUGCUACCACUGUCUACCUCUCCACCUUGUGCUCUGUCCCCAGGCCACUAAUUAUGUGUAUCAAAGGCUUCAUAUGAACCGCCAAGAAAGUUGGGAUGUGUUCCAUAAAUACCAUUGACGCUUUGGUAUACUCCCAUAAAUCCUCGGUAGCAUGCAUAUAAUUUUUUUAUCUUAGACAUUUUCUCUUGCUUCUAGAGCUUCAAACUGAGCAUUGUUUUGGGCCAUGUAGAGUUCCAUGGAUGACUCCUAUUAAGUAGGUGGUGGUUGUAUAUGAGUCUCAGACGAUUGGCUUUCUUUUCCUUUCUUUUUUCAUAGCUCGACCUUGACCGAGGUUAAGCUUCUCUCUUUGUUGUAGUUGUUGAUAUAUGCAGCAUUGAUUUAUGAUUUCAAAGCCGAAAUCUCAUUAAAUGACUCUGCCACUUGUUGGUACUUUAAUAAAUCAUUGGUCAAGGAAUGUAAGAUCAUGGUAGUUGCCAUUUUCUUGAUGCACUCAUGAAUGGCAUCAUAGACUACAAUAGAUAUAUCAAUAGAAUCAUCAUAAAAUACGGAGUAAAUCAACUUUGUCGUUAGCACUAGCAAAUCAUAAACAUGAGAAGCAUGCCAUAUAUUUGACAAAAUAAAAGUGGUCCAGAUUUGGGUUAAUUGAUUCUUGCUAAAUUUUAAAAUUGGACAUUCUCUUGUUGUUGCUCUCUUUUGUGGCUCCAAGCCUUAAAUGCAAAGACUUGUGUGGACAUCCAUCUCAUUGUGGGCACCUUCGCUUCCUUCCUUACUUGCCAAGACCUUCUAUUGGUAUUUGCACAAGUCACCAUAUUGAUUGGGUUGAAUCAUCCAUGGUGAUCGUAAAGCAUGCACUGCUGAUAAACUUAUCAUAGAAAACUUGGACUCCAUUCACCUAUGUAUAUCGGUUUACUUGGGCCUCCUUGGAGAUGAAAGCAUUGGCAUAAAAUUUCUUAACUAUAUCAACAUAAAUGUUUUGCUUGGUCGAGUCAAUUUUAGCCAACCAUAUUUUUCAACUAAAACAGUGAAUUCAUUUUCUUUUAAGUUAGAUCUUCAUAUUUUACCUUGGUGUAUCUUGAUUUGUCAUUGUUGCUCGUGAAUAGGUUCUCAUCUUGCUCAUGAUUAGAGUCAGGAUCAGGCACAACAUUCUUGCCUUUCUGAGCACGCGUUUUCUGGCCCUGCAAAUAAAUUUAGUAGUUGCAAUAUUCAAGUUUUUGGGUUAGCCAAACAAAAAUCAUGCCACAAUUUAGACCUUUGAUUGCUUAAAUAGACCGGAGCUCCAAACAUGGCAAGAAAUUGUUAGCGUGUUUUCAAAUUUUUGUGUUCACGGUUUCAUGGUUUUCAAAGCACAUUUUAUGUUUGCUUAUUUAAUCAUGUCAUCUAUGUGCAUCUAUAUGAAUGACUAAACAACAAUUUUAACAUUCCAAAAUUAAUACAAAGAGCAUGUAUAAUUCAUACAAAAUCAAGCAUAAUGAAUAAGCAAGCUAAUCACAUCACAAUCGGUUUCAUACACCAAAAACGUGUUGUUAUCCCACCAAACAUCAGCCCUUUAUGUUACUCAAUCAAAAUAUUAUGAGUUCCAACACCAUAUAGCAAGAAUCAUGGCGGUUUAUAAUGCAAUAUGGAAAGCACAUGAUAUAUGGUUCAACCGAAUUUGCUAAGUGUAAAAUAGCCAAAGAUUUUCAAAGUUUUAGUGUGAAAAUUCCUCAGUUAGUGGUACAUGCCAUUCUUAUAAACUUAUUUCAGAAGUUGAACAAUGAACAACAAGUUCAUAAUGAGUAAUAACGUUGUCAAUCAACAACUAAUAGUGCAUGUACUUUCGCUAGGUACUCAAAAACAAUUUGUAACAUGAAACAUUUCCACUUGAGCACCUACAAAUGACUCUUAGAACUUAAAUUUUAGGUUUAUUUUGAAAAGAGAAGAAUGAAGAAAUUAGAAGUAAAUAAGCACUUACAUGGUGUGCAUAUGAGAAUUUGUUGAAAAUUUUGUGUUUUGGGGAAGAAGUUUUGAAGAGAGAGAGAUGCAAAGACUUGGGUGUUUUCAAUUUUGGGUUUGUGUGGAUGAGAGUGUAAAGGGACAAGGGUGAAAUCCACUUUAUGGAUGAGGGGCAGAUUCUCCCAGGAUACCCUUGCAAGCCCGACACGCUUAGUGGUCAAAUUUCCAUAUAGAUGUGUGGCCUUGGCAUUGGCACAUUUGGCCUUGGCAUUGGCACAUUUGGCCUUGGCC